rnacentral:tRNA from 1 species
UAUUUAUUAGUUUAAAUUAAAACAUUAUAUUUUCAAUAUAAAAAUAAUAUUUAUUUUUAAANUAA